rnacentral:lncRNA from 1 species
ACUCCAAUAAUAGCACCUAACAAAAGUCCACCCAAGUCAAUUUUUGCUGGAGCAUAAGGUGAUACAGCGUAACCCUACGAAUAUAAAUAAACGUUGAAUCUUUCAAGUGGUUUAAAUAUCUAUAAUGAACCAGAACUCCCGAUAUUAGUGAAACCAAACCUAGCUUCUUGAUUACGAUCUGAGAUUUCAUUAAUCGUAGUCUCUCCGCGUUUCGUUGACGUAUCAGUUCGAACUUCGGCUUGUGAUGGCAUCGCUAUUUGAUCCUGUGCCUUUCCAGCUUUUUCCAUGUAAGCUAUAGAACUUGGUAUAAAACUGUACGAAUUGAAAAACAAUUGAGGAAUGAUGUUUAAAGUAAUGUAAUAAUAUUAUAACAAUCAAUAUCUUACCCUCUGUCGUCAUAUUUAGGAACACAAUUUGCACGAACUGCCAGAAAUACUAAGAUCAUUAUGAUAUUAUUUAAACUAUGUUUCAACAUCUGUAACAAUUAAAAAAAAUAAAUUAGACGAAAAAUGAAUUUUUAGCAGAUGCUUAUACGAAAUGCUUUCACUAGCAACUGUGAAAAUAAGACAC